UACAGAGGGGGCGAGCGUUGUUCGGAAUUACUGGGCGUAAAGGGCGCGUAGGCGGCCAACUAAGUCAGACGUGAAAUCCCUCGGCUUAACCGGGGAACUGCGUCUGAUACUGGAUGGCUUGAGUUUGGGAGAGGGAUGCGGAAUUCCAGGUGUAGCGGUGAAAUGCGUAGAUAUCUGGAGGAACACCGGUGGCGAAGGCGGCAUCCUGGACCAACACUGACACUGAGGAGCGAAAGCCAGGGGAGCAAACGGG
rnacentral:rRNA from 1 species